AAUGUGUAUGUUUGCAUAGUCUUUCUAGAAUUUGAUCAAUAAAAGGUAAGGGGUAAUGAUCUUUCUUAGUAGCCUUAUUUAAUUUGCGAAAAUCAAUUACCAUCCUAUAAACUGUGAUAAUUCUUUGCGGAAUCAAUUCAUCUUUAUCAUUAGGGACAACAGUAAUACCUCCCUUCUUAGGGACACAAUGGACAUGACUUACCCACUUACUAUCAGCAACGGGAUAAAUUAUACCUGCCUCCAAAAGCUUGAGUAUUUCUUUUCUUACCACUUCUUUCAUUUUAGGAUUCAAACGUCAUUGAGGAUCACAAACUGGUUUGGCAUCAGCUUCCAAAUUUAUUUUAUGUUGACAUAGAGUGGGACUGAUGCCCUUAAGAUCAUCCAGAGUAUAUCCAAUAGCGGCACGAUGCUUCUUCAGAGUUUUCAAUAAUCUUUCUUCUUCAUGCUCUGAAAGGUUAGUGCUAAUAAUAACAGGAUAUAUUUUCUUUUCAUCAAGAUAAGCAUAUUUAAGAUUAUCAGGCAACGGUUUAAACUCAAACACGGGAUCACCCUUGGGUGGAGGGGGAUCCCCUAGGAUUUCAACAGGCAAAUUGUGUUGCAGAAUAGGUUCCUGUUUAAAGAAUACUUCAUCUAUUUCCCUUCUUUCAUUCAUGAACAUAUCAUUUUCAUGGUCUAGCAAAUAGUUUUCUAAAGGAUCACUAGGAGGUACAACAAUAGAAGCAAGACCAAUAAUUUCAUCCUUACUAGGAAAUUCUUCCUCACGAUGUUGUUUACUAAAUUUAGAGAAAUUAAACUCAGGAACCAUAUCAUCCAAGCCAACAGUAACAACAUUCUUUUUGCAAUCUAUCGUAGCAUUAACAGUACGCAAGAAGGGUCUACCAAAUAUAAUGGGACAAAAGCUAUCUUGUGGAGAACCAAGAACAAGAAAAUCAGCGGGAUAUUUUGUUUUCUCACACAAGACUUCAACAUCUCUAACAAUUCCCAUUGGAGAUAUAAUAUCUCUAUUGGCAAGUUUAAUCAUAACAUCAAUUUCCUCUAACUCAGCAGGUGCAAUCUCAUGCAUAAUUUCCUUGUAUAAGCCAAUGGGUAUAACACUAGCACUGGCACCCAUAUCACAUAAGCCAUGAUAACAAUGAUCUCCUAUUUUAACAGAAAUAACAGGCACGCCUACCACAGGUCUAUGUUUAUCUCUAUCACAGGGUUUAGCAAUUUUAGCAGUUUCACCAGUGAAUUGAAUAACAUGCCCAUAGAUAUUAUCAGACAAGAGAUCUUUAACAAUAGCAAUACUGGGUUCUACUUUGACUUGCUCAGGAGGUGUAUAAGUCCUAAUAUUGCUUUUACGAACAACAGUUGAAGCUUUAGCAUGAUCCUUCAUUCUAACAGGGAAAGGGGGUUUCUCAACAUAGGAAGUAGGAACAAUAGGAUCAUUAUACGUGACAAUCUUUUCUUCAACUUUAAUAGGUGCAGCUACUUUUACUUCUAUGGGAGGAUGAUAUUUAAACCACUUCUCCUUGGGGAGAUCAACAUAAGUAGCAAAAGAUUCACAGAAAGAAGCUACUAUCUCAGAGUCAAGUCCAUAUUUAGUGCUAAACUUACGGAAAAUGUCGGUAUCCAUAAAAGAUUUAACACAAUCAAACUUAUUCCUUACCUUCGUUGUGGUCCCAAUCUUCAGAGUUUCUAUUAAUUCUAUCCAAUAAAUUCCAUCCAAAUUCAAUAGGCUUCAUCAUAAAAGAGCCAGCACAAGAAGUAUCGAGCAUGGUGCGAUUGUUAUCAGAAAGUCGAGCAUAAAAAUUCUGGAGAAUUGUCAAUUUUGAGAGCUCAUGAUUGGGGCAUGAAUAUAACAUUGAUUUAAGCCUCCCCCAAGCUUGAGCGAUGCUUUCUCCUUCGCGAGGCCAAAAAUUAUAUAUAUAAUUGCGAUCACGAUGAACAAGAUGCAUAGGGUAAUACUUUUGAUGGAAUUCCAAUUUCAAUCUUUUAUAGUUCCAUGAUCUCGUAUCAUCACAUAGCCUAUACCAUGUCAAUGCGUCUCCCUCCAAAGAUAAAGGGAAAGCCUUCCUCUUAACAACAUCAUCGGGUAUACAUGCAAGCUUAAAUAGUCCACAAAUAUCAUUCACAAAGCGUAGAUGUUCGUCAGGAUGCUUUGUUCUAUCUCCUGCGAAAGUGUUAGCUAGUAGUUUUUGAAGGAAAUAUGCCCUAGAGGCAAUAAUAAAGUUAUUAUUUAUUUCCUUAUAAUCAUGAUAAAUGUUUAUUAUUCAUGCUAGAAUUGUAUUUACCGGAAACAUAAUACAUGUGUGAAUACAUAGACAAACAAAGUGUCACUAGUAUGCCUCUACUUGACUAGCUCGUUAAUCAAAGAUGGUUAUGUUUCCUAACCAUGAACAAUGAGUUGUUAUUUGAUUAACGAGGUCACAUCAUUAGCAGAAUGAUCUAAUUGACAUGACCCAUUCCAUUAGCUUAGCACCCGAUCGUUUAGUAUGUUGCUAUUGCUUUCUUCAUGACUUAUACAUGUUCCUAUGACUAUGAGAUUAUGCAACUCCCGUUUACCGGAGGAACACUUUGGGUACUACCAAACGUCACAACGUAACUGGGUGAUUAUAAAGGAGUACUACAGGUGUCUCCAAUGGUCGAUGUUGGGUUGGCGUAUUUCGAGAUUAGGAUUUGUCACUCCGAUUGUCGGAGAGGUAUCUCUGGGCCCUCUCGGUAAUACACAUCACAUAAGCCUUGCAAGCAUUACAACUAAUAUGUUAGUUGUGAGAUGAUGUAUUACGGAACGAGUAAAGAGACUUGCCAGUGACGAGAUUGAACUAGGUAUUGGAUACCGACGAUCGAAUCUCGGGCAAGUAACAUACCGAUGACAAAGGGAACAACGUAUGUUGUUAUGCGGUCUGACCGAUAAAGAUCUUCGUAGAAUAUGUAGGAGCCAAUAUGGGCAUCCAGGUCCCGCUAUUGGUUAUUGACCAGAGACAUGUCUCGGUCAUGUCUACAUUGUUCUCGAACCCGUAGGGUCCGCACGCUUAAGGUUACGAUGACAGUUAUAUUAUGAGUUUAUGCAUUUUGAUGUACCGAAGGUUGUUCGGAGUCCCGGAUGUGAUCACGGACAUGACGAGGAGUCUCGAAAUGGUCGAGACAUAAAGAUUGAUAUAUUGGAAGCCUAUGUUUGGACAUCGGAAGUGUUCCGGGUGAAAUCGGGAUUUUACCGGGUUACCGGGAGGUUACCGGAACCCCCCGGGAACCACAUGGGCCUUCAUGGGCCUUAGUGGAAAGGAGAAAAGGGCAGCCCAAGGGGGCUGCGCGCCUCCCCCCUUCCCCUAGUCCUAUUAGGACUAGGAGAGGUGGCCGGCCACCCCUCUCCCUCUUUCCCCCUUGGGAAUCCUAAUUGGAAUAGGAUUGGAGGGGAGUCCUACUCCCGGUAGGAGUAGGACUCCUCCUGCGCCUCCUCCUCCUGGCCGGCGCACCCUCCCCCCUUGGCUCCUUUAUAUACUGAGGCAGGGGCACCUCUAAACACACAAGUUGACACAAGUUGAUCCACGUGAUCAAUUCCUUAGCCGUGUGCGGUGCCCCCUGCCCCCUGCCACGACGCCUUAUGAACUGUGGUUUGGCAAGAAACCAAAGUUGUCGUUUCUUAAAGUUUGGGGCUGCGAUGCUUAUGUGAAAAAACUUCAAACUGAUAAGCUCGAACCCAAAUCGGAGAAAUGUGUCUUCAUAGGAUACCCAAAGGAAACUGUUGGGUACACCUUCUAUCACAGAUCCGAAGGCAAAACAUUCGUUGCUAAGAAUGGAUCAUUUCUAGAGAAGGAGUUUCUCUCGAAAGAAGUGAGUGGGAGGAAAGUAGAACUUGACGAGGUAACUGUACCUGCUCCCUUACUGGAAAGUAGUUCAUCACAGAAAACUGUUUCAGUGACACCUACACCGGUUAGUGAGGAAGCCAAUGAUAAUGAUCAUGAAACUUCAGAUCAAGAUACUACUGAACCACGUAGAUCAACCAGAGUAAGAUCCGCGCCAGAGUGGUACGGAAAUCCUGUUCUGGAAGUCAUGCUACUAGAUCAUGAUGAACCUACGAACUAUGAAGAAGCGAUGGUGAGCCCAGAUUCCGCAAAGUGGCUUGAAGCCAUGAAAUCUGAGAUGGGAUCCAUGUAUGAGAACAAAGUAUGGACUUUGGUUGACUUGCCCAAUGAUCGGCAAGCAAUUGAGAAUAAAUGGAUCUUUAAGAAGAAGACUGACGCUGAUGGUAAUGUUACUGUCUACAAAGCUCGACUUGUCGCAAAAGGUUUUCGACAAGUUCAAGGGAUUGACUACGAUGAGACCUUCUCACCCGUAGCGAUGCUUAAGUCCGUCCGAAUCAUGUUAGCGAUUGCCGCAUUUAAUGAUUAUGAAAUUUGGCAGAUGGAUGUCAAAACUGCAUUCCUGAAUGGAUUUCUGGAAGAAGAGUUGUAUAUGAUGCAACCAGAAGGUUUUGUCGAUCCAAAGGGAGCUAACAAAGUGUGCAAGCUCCAGCGAUCCAUUUAUGGACUGGUGCAAGCCUCUCGGAGUUGGAAUAAACGUUUUGAUAGUGUGAUCAAAGCAUUUGGUUUUAUACAGACUUUCGGAGAAGCCUGUAUUUACAAGAAAGUGAGUGGGAGCUCUGUAGCAUUUCUGAUAUUAUAUGUGGAUGACAUAUUACUGAUUGGAAAUGAUAUAGAAUUUCUGGAUAGCAUAAAGGGAUACUUGAAUAAAAGUUUUUCAAUGAAAGACCUCGGUGAAGCUGCUUACAUAUUAGGCAUUAAGAUCUAUAGAGAUAGAUCAAGAUGCUUAAUUGGACUUUCACAAAGCACAUACCUUGACAAGAUUUUGAAGAAAUUCAAAAUGGAUCAAGCAAAGAAAGGAUUCUUGCCUGUAUUACAAGGUAUGAAAUUGAGUAAGACUCAAUGCCCGACCACUGCAGAAGAUAGAGAGAAUAUGAAAGAUGUUCCCUAUGCAUCAGCCAUAGGCUCUAUCAUGUAUGCAAUGCUGUGUACCAGACCUGAUGUGUGCCUUGCUAUAAGUUUAGCAGGGAGGUACCAAAGUAAUCCAGGAGUGGAUCACUGGACAGCGGUCAAGAACAUCCUGAAAUACCUGAAAAGGACUAAGGAUAUGUUUCUCGUAUAUGGAGGUGACAAAGAGCUCACCGUAAAAGGUUACGUUGAUGCAAGCUUUGACACUGAUCCGGACGAUUCUAAAUCGCAAACCGGAUACGUGUUUACAUUAAAUGGUGGAGCUGUCAGUUGGUGCAGUUCUAAACAAAGCGUUGUAGCGGGAUCUACAUGUGAAGCGGAAUACAUAGCUGCUUCGGAAGCAGCAAAUGAAGGAGUCUGGAUGAAGGAGUUCAUAUCCGAUCUAGGUGUCAUACCUAGUGCAUCGGGUCCAAUGAAAAUCUUUUGUGACAAUACUGGUGCAAUUGCCUUAGCAAAGGAAUCUAGAUUUCACAAAAGGACCAAACACAUCAAGAGACGCUUCAACUCCAUCCGGGAUCUAGUCCAGGUGGGAGACAUAGAGAUUUGCAAGAUACAUACGGAUCUGAAUGUUGCAGACCCGUUGACUAAGCCUCUUCCACGAGCAAAACAUGAUCAGCACCAAGGCUCCAUGGGUGUUAGAAUCAUUACAGUGUAAUCUAGAUUAUUGACUCUAGUGCAAGUGGGAGACUGAAGGAAAUAUGCCCUAGAGGCAAUAAUAAAGUUAUUAUUUAUUUCCUUAUAAUCAUGAUAAAUGUUUAUUAUUCAUGCUAAAAUUGUAUUUACCGGAAACAUAAUACAUGUGUGAAUACAUAGACAAACAUAAGUCACUAGUAUGCCUCUACUUGACUAGCUCGUUAAUCAAAGAUGGUUAUGUUUCCUAACCAUGAAACAAAGAGUUGUUAUUUGAUUAACGAGGUCACAUCAUUAGUAGAAUGAUCUGAUUGACAUGACCCAUUCCAUUAGCUUAGCACCCGAUCGUUUAGUAUGUUGCUAUUGCUUUCUUCAUGACUUAUACAUGUUCCUAUGACUAUGAGAUUAUGCAACUCCCGUUUACCGGAGGAACACUUUGGGUACUACCAAACGUCACAACGUAACUGGGUGAUUAUAAAGGAGUACUACAGGUGUCUCCAAUGGUCGAUGUUGGGUUGGCGUAUUUCGAGAUUAGGAUUUGUCACUCCGAUUGUCGGAGAGGUAUCUCUGGGCCCUCUCGGUAAUACACAUCACAUAAGCCUUGCAAGAAUUACAACUAAUAUGUUAGUUGUGAGAUGAUGUAUUACGGAACGAGUAAAGAGACUUGCCGGUAACGAGAUUGAACUAGGUAUUGGAUACCGACGAUCGAAUCUCGGGCAAGUAACAUACCGAUGACAAAGGGAACAACAUAUGUUGUUAUGCGGUCUGACCGAUAAAGAUCUUCGUAGAAUAUGUAGGAGCCAAUAUGGGCAUCCAGGUCCCGCUAUUGGUUAUUGACCAGAGACGUGUCUCGGUCAUGUCUACAUUGUUCUCGAACCCGUAGGGUCCGCACGCUUAAGGUUACGAUGACAGUUAUAUUAUGAGUUUAUGCAUUUUGAUGUACCGAAGGUUGUUCGGAGUCCCGGAUGUGAUCACGGACAUGACGAGGAGUCUCGAAAUGGUCGAGACAUAAAGAUUGAUAUAUUGGAAGCCUAUAUUUGGAUAUCGGAAGUGUUCCGGGUGAAAUCAGGAUUUUACCGGAAUACCGGGAGGGUUACCGGAACCCCCCGGGAGCUAUUUGGGCCAUAGUGGGCCUUAGUGGAAAAGAGAAGGGGCUGCCCUAGAUGGGCUGCGCGCCCCCCCCUUCCCCUAGUCCUAUUAGGACUAGGAGAGGUGGCCGGCCCCCUCCUCCUCUUUUCCCCUCCGAGGAAUCCUAGUUGGACUAGGAUUGGAGGGGGAAUCCUACUCCCAGUGGGAGUAGGACUCUCCUGCGCCUCCCCCCCUUGGCCGGCCAGCCUCCCCUCCUCUCCUCCUUUAUAUACGGAGGCAGGGGCACCUCUAAACACACAAGUUGACACAAGUUGAUCCACGUGAUCUAUUCCUUAGCCGUGUGCGGUGCCCCCUGCCACCAUAUUCCUCGAUAAUACUGUAGCGGAGUUUAGGCGAAGCCCUGCUGCUGUAGUUCAUCAAGAUCGUCACCACGCCGUCGUGCUGACGAAACUCUUCCCCGACACUUUGCUGGAUCGGAGUCCGGGGAUCGUCAUCGAGCUGAACGUGUGCUCGAACUCGGAGGUGUCGUAGUUUCGGUGCUUGAUCGGUUGGAUCGUGAAGACGUACGACUACUUCCUCUACGUCGUGUCAUCGCUUUCGCAGUCGGUCUGCGUUGGGUACGUAGACAACACUCUCCUCUCGUUGCUAUGCAUCACAUGAUCCUGUGUGUACGUAGGAAAUUUUUUGAAAUUACUACGAAACCCAACAGUGGCAUCCGAGCUUAGGUUAUUUAUGUUGAUGUUAUAUGCACGAGUAGAACACAAGUGAGUUGUGGACGAUACAAGUCAUACUACCUACCAGCAUGUCAUACUUUGGUUCGGCGGUAUUGUUGGACGAGACGACCCGGACCAACCUUACGCGUACGUUUACGCGAGACCGGUUCCCUCGACGUGCUUUGCACAGAGAUGGCUUGCGGGCGACUGUCUCUCCAACUUUAGUUGAACCAAGUAUGGCUACGCCCGGUCCUUGCGAAGGUUAAAAUGGAGUCUAUUUGACAAACUAUCGUUGUGGUUUUGAUGCGUAGGUGAGAUUGGUUCUUACUUAAGCCCGUAGCAGCCACGUAAAACAUGCAACAACAAAGUAGAGGACGUCUAACUUGUUUUUGCAGGGCAUGUUGUGAUGUGAUAUGGUCAAAGCAUGAUGCUGAAUUUUAUUGUAUGAGAUGAUCAUGUUUUGUAACCGAGUUAUCGGCAACUGGCAGGAGCCAUAUGGUUGUCGCUUUAUUGUAUGCAAUGCAAUCGCGAUGUAAUGCUUUACUUUAUUACUAAACGGUAGUGAUAGUCGUGGAAGCAUAAGAUUGGCGAGACGACAACGAUGCUACGAUGGAGAUCAAGGUGUCGCGCUGGUGACGAUGGUGAUCAUGACGGUGCUUCGGAGAUGGAGAUCACAAGCACAAGAUGAUGAUGACCAUAUCAUAUCACUUAUAUUGAUUGCAUGUGAUGUUUAUCUUUUUAUGCAUCUUAUCUUGCUUUGAUUGACGGUAGCAUUAUAAGAUGAUCUCUCACUAAAUUAUCAAGAAGUGUUCUCCCUGAGUAUGCACCGUUGCCAAAGUUCGUCGUGCCCAGACACCACGUGAUGAUCGGGUGUGAUAAGCUCUACGUCCAUCUACAACGGGUGCAAGCCAGUUUUGCACACGCAGAAUACUCAGGUUAAACUUGACGAGCCUAGCAUAUGCAGAUAUGGCCUCGGAACACGGAGACCGAAAGGUCGAGCAUGAAUCAUAUAGUAGAUAUGAUCAACAUAACGAUGUUCACCAUUGAAAACUACUCCAUCUCACGUGAUGAUCGGUCAUGGUUUAGUUGAUUUGGAUCACGUAAUCACUUAGAGGAUUAGAGGGAUGUCUAUCUAAGUGGGAGUUCUUAAAUAAUAUGAUUAAUUGAACUUAAAUUUAUCAUGAACUUAGUACCUGAUAGUAUCUUGCUUGUUUAUGUUGAUUGUAGAUAGAUGGCUCGCGCUGUUGUUCCGUUGAAUUUUAAUGCGUUCCUUGAGAAAGCAAAGUUGAAAGAUGAUGGUAGCAAUUACACGGACUGGGUCCGUAACUUGAGGAUUAUCCUCAUUGCUGCACAGAAAAAUUACGUCCUGGAAGCACCGCUGGGUGCCAGGCCUGCUACUGGAGCAACACCAGAUGUUAUGAACGUCUGGCAGAGCAAAGCUGAUGACUACUCGAUACUUCAGUGUGCCAUGCUUUACGGCUUAGAAUCGGGACUUCAACGACGUUUUGAACGUCAUGGAGCAUAUGAGAUGUUCCAGGAGUUGAAGUUAAUAUUUCAAGCAAAUGCCCGAAUUGAGAGAUAUGAAGUCUCCAAUAAGUUCUAUAGCUGCAAGAUGGAGGAGAACAGUUCUGUCAGUGAGCAUAUACUCAAAAUGUCUGGGUAUAAUAAUCACUUGAUUCAAUUGGGAGUUAAUCUUCCGGAUGAUUGCGUUAUUGACAGAAUUCUCCAAUCACUACCACCAAGCUACAAGAGCUUCGUGAUGAACUAUAACAUGCAAGGGAUGAACAAGACUAUUCCCGAGCUCUUCGCAAUGCUGAAAGCUGCGGAGGUAGAAAUCAAGAAGGAGCAUCAAGUGUUGAUGGUUAACAAGACCACUAGUUUCAAGAAAAAGGGCAAAGGGAAGAAAAAGGGGAACUUCAAGAAGAACGGCAAGCAAGUUGCUGCUCAAGAGAAGAAACCCAAGUCUGGACCUAAGCCUAAAACAGAGUGCUUCUACUGCAAGCAGACUGGUCACUGGAAGCGGAACUGCCCCAAGUAUUUGGCGGAUAAGAAGGAUGGCAAGGUGAACAAAGGUAUAUGUGAUAUACAUGUUAUUGAUGUGUACCUUACUAGAGCUCGCAGUAGCACCUGGGUAUUUGAUACUGGUUCUGUUGCUAAUAUUUGCAACUCGAAACAGGGACUACAGAAUAAGCGGGCACUGGCAAAGGACGAGGUGACGAUGCGCGUGGGAAAUGGUUCCAAAGUCGAUGUGAUCGCAGUCGGCACGCUACCUCUACAUCUACCUUCGGGAUUAAUAUUAGACCUAAGUAAUUGUUAUUUGGUGCCAGCGUUGAGCAUGAACAUUAUAUCUGGAUCUUGUUUAAUGCGAGACGGUUAUUCAUUUAAAUCAGAGAAUAAUGGUUGUUCUAUUUAUAUGAGUAAUAUCUUUUAUGGUCAUGCACCCUUGAAGAGUGGUCUAUUCUUAUUAAAUCUCGAUAGUAGUAAUACACAUAUUCAUAAUGUUGAAGCCAAAAGAUGCAGAGUUGAUAACGAAAGUGCAACUUAUUUGUGGCACUGUCGUUUAGGUCAUAUCGGUAUAAAACGCAUGAAGAAACUCCAUGCUGAUGGACUUUUGGAACCACUUGAUUAUGAAUCACUUGGUACUUGCGAACCGUGCCUCAUGGGCAAGAUGACUAAAACACCGUUCUCCGGUACUAUGGAGAGAGCAACAGAUUUGUUGGAAAUCAUACAUACAGAUGUAUGUGGCCCGAUGAAUAUUGAGGCUCGUGGCGGAUAUCGUUAUUUUCUCACCUUCACAGAUGAUUUAAGCAGAUAUGGGUAUAUCUACUUAAUGAAACAUAAGUCUGAAACAUUUGAAAAGUUCAAAGAAUUUCAGAGUGAAGUUGAAAAUCAUCGUAACAAGAAAAUAAAGUUUCUACGAUCUGAUCGUGGAGGAGAAUAUUUGAGUUACGAGUUUGGUGUACAUUUGAAAAACUGUGGAAUAGUUUCGCAACUCACGCCACCCGGAACACCACAGCGUAAUGGUGUGUCCGAACGUCGUAAUCGUACUUUACUAGAUAUGGUGCGAUCUAUGAUGUCUCUUACUGAUUUACCGCUAUCUUUUUGGGGAUAUGCUUUAGAGACGGCCGCAUUCACGUUAAAUAUGGCACCAUCAAAAUCCGUUGAGACGACGCCUUAUGAACUGUGGUUUGGCAAGAAACCAAAGUUGUCGUUUCUUAAAGUUUGGGGCUGCGAUGCUUAUGUGAAAAAGCUUCAACCUGAUAAGCUCGAACCCAAAUCGGAGAAAUGUGUCUUCAUAGGAUACCCAAAGGAAACUGUUGGGUACACCUUCUAUCACAGAUCCGAAGGCAAGACAUUCGUUGCUAAGAAUGGAUCAUUUCUAGAGAAGGAGUUUCUCUCGAAAGAAGUGAGUGGGAGGAAAGUAGAACUUGACGAGGUAACUGUACCCGCUCCCUUACUGGAAAGUAGUUCAUCACAGAAAACUGUUUCAGUGACACCUACACCAGUUAGUGAGGAAGCCAAUGAUAAUGAUCAUGAAACUUCAGAUCAAGAUACUGCUGAACCUCGUAGAUCAACCAGAGUAAGAUCCGCACCAGAGUGGUACGGUAAUCCUGUUCUGGAGGUCAUGCUACUAGAUCAUGAUGAACCUACGAACUAUGAAGAAGCAAUGGUGAGCCCAGAUUCCGCAAAGUGGCUUGAAGCCAUGAAAUCUGAGAUGGGAUCCAUGUAUGAGAACAAAGUAUGGACUUUGGUUGACUUGCCCGAUGAUCGGCAAGCAAUUGAGAAUAAAUGGAUCUUUAAGAAGAAGACUGACGCUGAUGGUAAUGUUACUAUCUACAAAGCUCGACUUGUCGCAAAAGGUUUUCGGCAAGUUCAAGGAAUUGACUACGAUGAGACCUUCUCACCCGUAGCGAUGCUUAAGUCCAUCCGAAUCAUGUUAGCAAUUGCCGCAUUUUAUGAUUAUGAAAUUUGGCAAAUGGAUGUCAAAACUGCAUUCCUGAAUGGAUUUCUGGAAGAAGAGUUGUAUAUGAUGCAACCAGAAGGUUUUGUCGAUCCAAAGGGAGCUAACAAAGUGUGCAAGCUCCAGCGAUCCAUUUAUGGACUGGUGCAAGCCUCUCGGAGUUGGAAUAAACGUUUUGAUAGUGUGAUCAAAGCAUUUGGUUUUAUACAGACUUUCGGAGAAGCCUGUAUUUACAAGAAAGUGAGUGGGAGCUCUGUAGCAUUUCUGAUAUUAUAUGUGGAUGACAUAUUACUGAUUGGAAAUGAUAUAGAAUUUCUGGAUAGCAUAAAGGGAUACUUGAAUAAAAGUUUUUCAAUGAAAGACCUCGGUGAAGCUGCUUACAUAUUAGGCAUUAAGAUCUAUAGAGAUAGAUCAAGAUGCUUAAUUGGACUUUCACAAAGCACAUACCUUGACAAGAUUUUGAAGAAAUUCAAAAUGGAUCAAGCAAAGAAAGGAUUCUUGCCUGUAUUACAAGGUAUGAAAUUGAGUAAGACUCAAUGCCCGACCACUGCAGAAGAUAGAGAGAAUAUGAAAGAUGUUCCCUAUGCAUCAGCCAUAGGCUCUAUCAUGUAUGCAAUGCUGUGUACCAGACCUGAUGUGUGCCUUGCUAUAAGUUUAGCAGGGAGGUACCAAAGUAAUCCAGGAGUGGAUCACUGGACAGCGGUCAAGAACAUCCUGAAAUACCUGAAAAGGACUAAGGAUAUGUUUCUCGUAUAUGGAGGUGACAAAGAGCUCACCGUAAAAGGUUACGUUGAUGCAAGCUUUGACACUGAUCCGGACGAUUCUAAAUCGCAAACCGGAUACGUGUUUACAUUAAACGGUGGAGCUGUCAGUUGGUGCAGUUCUAAACAAAGCGUUGUAGCGGGAUCUACAUGUGAAGUGGAAUACAUAGCUGCUUCGGAAGCAGCAAAUGAAGGAGUCUGGAUGAAGGAGUUCAUAUCCGAUCUAGGUGUCAUACCUAGUGCAUCGGGUCCAAUGAAAAUCUUUUGUGACAAUACUGGUGCAAUUGUCUUGGCAAAGGAAUCCAGAUUUCACAAAAGGAUCAAACACAUCAAGAGACGCUUCAACUCCAUCCGGGAUCUAGUCCAGGUGGGAGACAUAGAGAUUUGCAAGAUACAUACGGAUCUGAAUGUUGCAGACCCAUUGACUAAGCCUCUUCCACGAGCAAAACAUGAUCAGCACCAAGGCUCCAUGGGUGUUAGAAUCAUUACAGUGUAAUCUAGAUUAUUGACUCUAGUGCAAGUGGGAGACUGAAGGAAAUAUGCCCUAGAGGCAAUAAUAAAGUUAUUAUUUAUUUCCUUAUAAUCAUGAUAAAUGUUUAUUAUUCAUGCUAGAAUUGUAUUUACCGGAAACAUAAUACAUGUGUGAAUACAUAGACAAACAAAGUGUCACUAGUAUGCCUCUACUUGACUAGCUCGUUAAUCAAAGAUGGUUAUGUUUCCUAAGCAUGAACAAUGAGUUGUUAUUUGAUUAACAAGGUCACAUCAUUAGCAGAAUGAUCUAAUUGACAUGACCCAUUCCAUUAGCUUAGCACCCGAUCGUUUAGUAUGUUGCUAUUGCUUUCUUCAUGACUUAUACAUGUUCCUAUGACUAUGAGAUUAUGCAACUCCCGUUUACCGGAGGAACACUUUGGGUACUACCAAACGUCACAACGUAACUGGGUGAUUAUAAAGGAGUACUACAGGUGUCUCCAAUGGUCGAUGUUGGGUUGGCGUAUUUCGAGAUUAGGAUUUGUCACUCCGAUUGUCGGAGAGGUAUCUCUGGGCCCUCUCGGUAAUACACAUCACAUAAGCCUUGCAAGCAUUAUAACUAAUAUGUUAGUUGUGAGAUGAUGUAUUACGGAACGAGUAAAGAGACUUGCCGGUAACGAGAUUGAACUAGGUAUUGGAUACCGACGAUCGAAUCUCGGGCAAGUAACAUACCGAUGACAAAGGGAACAACGUAUGUUGUUAUGCGGUCUGACCAAUAAAGAUCUUCGUAGAAUAUGUAGGAGCCAAUAUGGGCAUCCAUGUCCCGCUAUUGGUUAUUGACCAGAGACGUGUCUCGGUCAUGUCUACAUUGUUCAUGAACCCGUAGGGUCCGCACGCUUAAGGUUACGAUGACAGUUAAUUAUGAGUUUAUACAUUUUGAUGUACCGAAGGUUGUUCGGAGUCUCGGAUGUGAUCAUGGACAUGACGAGGAGUCUCGAAAUGGUCGAGACGUAAAGAUUGAUAUAUUGGAAGCCUAUAUUUGGAUAUCGGAAGUGUUCCGGGUGAAAUCGGGAUUUUACCGGAAUACCGGGAGGGUUACCGGAACCCCCCGGGAGCUAUUUGGGCCAUAGUGGGCCUUAGUGGAAAAGAGAAGGGGCUGCCCUAGAUGGGCUGCGCCCCCCCCUUCCCCUAGUCCUAUUAGGACUAGGAGAGGUGGCCGGCCCCCUCCUCCUCUUUUCCCCUCCGAGGAAUCCUAGUUGGACUAGGAUUGGAGGGGGAAUCCUACUCCCAGAGGGAGUAGGACUCUCCUGCGCCUCCCCCCCUUGGCCGGCCAGCCUCCCCUCCUCUCCUCCUUUAUAUACGGAGGCAGGGGCACCUCUAAACACAAAAGUUGACACAAGUUGAUCCACGUGAUCUAUUCCUUAGCCGUGUGCGGUGCCCCCUGCCACCAUAUUCCUCGAUAAUACUGUAGCGGAGUUUAGGCGAAGCCCUGCUGCUGUAGUUCAUCAAGAUCGUCACCACGCCGUCGUGCUGACGAAACUCUUCCCCGACACUUUGCUGGAUCGGAGUCCGGGGAUCGUCAUCGAGCUGAACGUGUGCUUGAACUCGGAGGUGCCGUAGUUUCGGUGCUUGAUCGGUUGGAUCGUGAAGACGUACGACUACUUCCUCUACGUCGUGUCAUCGCUUCCGCAGUCGGUCUGCGUUGGGUACGUAGACAACACUCUCCUCUCGUUGCUAUGCAUCACAUGAUCCUGUGUGUACGUAGGAAAUUUUUUGAAAUUACUAUGAAACCCAACAGUUUUUCCAUCAUACCCGAAGGAAUUCCAAAAGGAGUUUCAUUUUCAAUAGGUUCAAGAGGUUCAGUAGGUUCAGUAGGUUGAGGAGCAAUCUUGGCUCAACCGGACGGGGAGAAGAUACCCCGAACAAGCCCCUCAAACAAUUACUUUCCAUAGUAACAAGUGACAGAAAAUUUCAGCACACUAAAUAAAUUUUUCCUUACCAAAUUCCACCUACCAAAGGCGCUUCACUCUCCGGCAACGGCGCCAGAAAAGAGUCUUGAUGACCCACAAGUAUAGGGGAUCUAUCGUAGUCCUCUUGAUAAGUAAGAGUGUCGAACCCAAUGAGGAGCAGAAGGAAAUGAUAAGCGGUUUUCAGCAAGGUAUUCUCUGCAAGUACUGAAAUAAGUGGUAACGGAUAGUUUUGCGAUAAGAUAAAUUGUAACAAGCAACAAGUAAUAAAAGUAAAUAAGGUGCAGCAAGGUGGCCCAAUCCUUUUUGUAGCAAAGGACAAGCCGGGAUAAACUCUUAUGAUAGGAAAAGCGCUCCCGAGGACACAUGGGAAUAUCGUCAAGCUAGUUUUCAUCAUGCUCAUAUGAUUCGCGUUCGGUACUUUGAUAAUUUGAUAUGUGGGUGGACCGGUGCUUGGGUACUGCCCUUACUUGGACAAGCAUCCCACUUAUGAUUAACCUCUAUUGCAAGCAUCCGCAACUACAACAAAAGUAUUAAGGUAAACCUAACCAUAGCAUGAAACAUGUGGAUCCAAAUCAGCCCCUUACGAAGCAACGCAUAAACUAGGGUUUAAGCUUCUGUCACUCUAGCAACCCAUCAUCUACUUAUUACUUCUCAAUGCCUUCCUCUAGGCCCAAAUAAUGGUGAAGUGUUAUGUAGUCGAUGUUCACAUAACACCACUAGAGGUUAGACAACAUACAUCUUAUCAAAAUAUCGAACGAAUACCAAAUUCACAUAACUACUAAUAGCAAGACUUCUCCCUUGUCCUCAGGAACAAACGUAACUACUCACAAAGCAUAUUUAUGUUCAUAAUCAGAGGGGUAAUAUUGUGCAUAAAGGAUCUGAACAUAUGAUCUUCCACCAAAUAAACCAACUAGCAUCAAGUACAAGGAGUAAUCAACACUACUAACAACCUACUAGCACCAAUCCCGGACUUGGAGACAAGAAUUGGAUACAAGAGAUGAACUAGGGUUUGGAGAUGAGAUGGUGCUGGUGAAGAUGUUGAUGGAGAUUGCCCUCUCCCGAUGAGAGGAGCAUUGGUGAUGACGAUGAUGAUGAUUUCCCCCUCCCGGAGGGAAGUGUCCCCGGCAGAACAGCUCUGCCGGAGCCCUAGAUUGGUUCCGCCAAGUUUCCGCCUCGUGGCGGCGGAGUCUCAUCCCGAAAGGUUCUCUCUGAUUUUUUUCUCAUCGAAAGACUUCAUAUAGGAGAAGAUGGGCGUCGGAGAGCCACCAGGGGGCCCACGAGGUAGGGGGGCGCGCCCAGGGGGGGCGCCCCCACCCUCGUGAGCAGGGUGUGGCCCCCCUGGCCUUCAUCUUUGGCGUCGAUUUUUCUUUAUUUAUUUCAAGGUAUUCCGUGGAGUUUCAGGACUUUUGGAGUUACGUAGAAUAGGCCUCCAAUAUUUGCUCCUUUUCCAGCCCAAAAUUCCAGCUGCUGGCAUUCUCCCUCUUCAUGUAAACCUUGUAAAAUAAGAGAGAAUAGCCAUAAGUAUCGUGACAUAACAUGAAAUAACAGCCCAUAAUGCAAUAAAUAUUAUCAUAAAAGCAUGAUGCAAAAUGGACGUAUCACGCUCGUCCUCUCAUCUCCCAUGGAGGGGAGGGGUCGGGAUGUAGGGGAAGGAGGAAGCCGGAGAUGCUGCUACUGCUGACGUCCAUGGAGACGCUGCUGCUGCUGACGUCCAUGGAGAUGCUGCUGCUGUGGAUCGAGAAAGCAAAGAAAUUAGGGGGAGGAUGUGAGAGAGAAGGAAGGAGAAGAGAGGUCAGGGAGAGCCCCGGUGUUCUACCCCUACUGGGGCAUCUUUUCUCCAGGGAGAAAGGAGGGGACCAGCGGCAUAGGGAGGAGAGGAGGCCGUCGAGGCGAGCGGGGAGGGGGCGGCGGCAUGGGAGAGGAUGGAGCAGGGAGGACAUGAGGCGAAGGGGGAGCGGGGCUCGGGAGCACAUGCCGGCAGCCGGCAGGUCGAAUUGUCGCGCCACUGCGUCAUCGCCUCCUCUGCUCCAUGAGGCGCCACCUCUGCCUCCACCCUCCACUAGGCAAGGAGCUCAAGGUGAACAGGCGGUGGGAAGGUCAGAGGAAGCAGGAGUUCAUCUCUCCUCCAAUGGCUGCCUCAUGCAUCUGGAGUAUAAGGAGGACAACAUGUGCCUGUUGGAGGCGACUCGAGCAACACAGGCCAGCGGCGAACUAGGUGCUCCACUCUUUCUCCCUCACUUCCUUCCUCACUCAUAAUUUACUAUGCUAAUAUUUGGAUUUUUGAACUUGACGUGUGCAGAUCUGACAUAGAAGACCACGUUCGUCAGAUUCGAAAGUGAUUGCCAAUGGCUCUAAUGGUAAUUAAUAACCUCUUUUUGCGCUUCACCUUGUUCUUAUAUAUGAUGUACAGAGAAUGCAGUCGUGUCAAGUUUGCUGACAUCCCCGUGCUGCAACCGGUUUGGUAUAUUUGGUUAAUCGUAACCAGCAAAGAGGAGUCGUCACAUACGUGCCUUCUAUUAUUUAUGUGGUUGUAUGAAGUGUUCCUUCAACUAAUCAAGCAACCUGACAUUAGUACUUUGUUUAGUUAAUAUCACUCUCAUCAGAGAGUAUGAUAUCAUUUAGCUAGCCUCUUUUCUUUGCGGGAUAGUGUAAAGGUUAGAAAUGGGUAACGGAAAGAGUGUUCUCAUUUUACUGCCCCUGGAUUUAGGGGAUAUAUAUGCGUAUAUAUUGAUGCAUCGUUGCCAUGUCUGGCUCUUCAGGAGCAUGCUAGCUAGAAGUUCGGAUCUGUAAUCAAUAUANNNNNNNNNNNNNNNNNNNNNNNNNNNNNNNNNNNNNNNNNNNNNNNNNNNNNNNNNNNNNNNNNNNNNNNNNNNNNNNNNNNNNNNNNNNNNNNNNNNNNNNNNNNNNNNNNNNNNNNNNNNNNNNNNNNNNNNNNNNNNNNNNNNNNNNNNNNNNNNNNNNNNNNNCCCUUAAAUCUAACAAUCAAAUUAUGAGAGAAUCAUCUUUACUUGAACUAGAAAGGUCGAUUAUGUGUCUCGAUUUUGUUUAGGAAUAUAGCAAGUUGAGUAACCUUAUUCUUUCUAAAAUAGGGAUAUUCCUGAAUGUUGUUUACUACUUCUAUUAUGUUGCUUAUUUUUGUGGUUCCAUUUGAACAUGAUGUGCACUCUUGUUUCCGUCGUUAUACCUAUUUUGGAAUCCAUGUCAGCAUGUUGUGCUUUGUCGGCACAUUCGUGCAUGUGUGAGGUCGCAGAUGAAGAAGCACCGAAUGAUCAUUAUAUUAUUCUCUGCUCUGAUCUUCUAUUGACAUAUGUAAGAUGUACCUUAUUUCCUGGUAUUUGCUAAGAUUCUGGACUGAUUGUUUGACAGUGAUUAUUAUGUAAAAGUGUUUUCAGUUGCUAUUUAGUAUGGAUGCCUCCAUGGUUGCAUAGGCAUCCAUGGUUCUAUGAGGAGGUUAUCUAUGUCAUUCUGUUUUAUAUAGAUGUCUAAUUAGGUAAGCAAUCACACAUGGUCCUGUUACUUGUUUGUUUCUUUUGAUCUUCUUGAUGUUGAGUUGUGGGUUUACGCGAUCUUGCUACCCAUCUGGUUAUUUAAACAUGAAAAGGAGUACGACUCGGCAGGAAAGUCAACCGUGGGGAGGUGCAACAUGGCGUGGCCUCAGCAGCCAAUUAGGUGUCCUCUAUCUUUGCCUAUUGCUUCCUGUGGAACACUGAUUUUGUUUGACUUAUGAAGGCACAUUCAUCCUACAAGAACAAUCAUGAUUUAGAGUUAGACCGCCCUUGCACAUCGGUUUGCUUUCUUACAUUGAUUGUUGUUUUUUAUGCAUUAUAUCAUUCACCUUCUCACAUAAUAGUCUGGUAAAAAAAGAGUGAACUCACUCCUGAAUUUGCACUAAUUAUAUAUUUAUGGCACUAUUAAUAAUUUGUAUUUGCAUUCUCUAUUGAGUUCGUCGAGUUCCUUUCUCAAUAUGCUUAGAUGCUUUUCUCAAUGUGAAUUGCAUCCGUGAUGGAAAGAAGCAAAAGUGUGAUGUAGCAUAAUCUCCAGCAUGGUAGGGCUACGUGUCGUCCAAAUAUUUGUUCUAUAGUAGGUUAGUACAGACUCAUUAGAUCAUAUUUUUCAGAAGUAUGUGAACCUUCUGCACAAUGAAUCAUAACCCUAAAUUGUUAUUUCAAAAAAUAUCUGUGAAACCUUACAUUUGUUAGCUGUCAUACAUAUUUUACUGUUCCUGGACAAUUCUGAUUUUUGCUAAAUAUGCUAAUCAGGAGUUUUAUUUAAUCAUGGAAAAAUUUUCAACAGAAUUAGGCCUUUCAGUACUUCACAUUUGUUGAACUAAUGGCCAAUUUCUAUUUUUUUGCUGUUUGGAUUGUUCAGGUAUUGGAAGUUUUGGGUUCCACGGAAUUAUUGGUGCUUAUCUACAAAGUUGAUUAUGCUUAUCAUUCUAAAUUUUCUGGUUCUCAGUUGAACAGUACCGUUGAUAAAGCUACACGGUGGAUGCUAUUCAUUAUAUAAGGUGAGCUUCUAUGACUUGGUUUAACCUUUCUAGAUUAUGUAACUGAAUAGAAGAACUUUCUGAUAUGUGUAUUUGUAGAAUUUGCUGGUGUUUGAUGCGAAAUAUCGGUGGCCAAAAUGUUGUUAUGGUCAGGUCGACCUGAAUAUUAUGUUCAUCUGUCUACACCUCCUCCUGUGGUAUCCAGUUGUUCGAGUACUGGUCACCUCCUCAUGGUAGACUCUUACAAGUGCUCCUGCUUGUUGAAAAUGCCUGAUACAAGUCACUAGCUGAGCCUAAUAAAAUAGUAGAGAAACUUUUUACAACAGUACAGAAAUGUAGAGCAAAUCAAGUAGAAGAAGAGACAGAACGCACAAAAACUUUUGAAAGGAAUAUCAGUUUCAUACAUUAUUUGUAGUGCUAAAAUAAACAUAUAUACUGCAGGUUCAGGACUAAUUUAUUAUAGGCAAACCUGCACACAUGUGCUACUCUACCCAGGCUUAAUUCGUCCUAGCAAAAGAAAUCACAUCAUGAGCAAAAGAACAAAUCACUACUAACAUUUCAAAUCAAGAUUUAUCCAUCUAGCAGUCCCAAAAUAUAUUUCUCUUCUCAUUAUUGCAGCAGCCUUUUCUGUACCAGCAAUGUGACACUACACUACAAUAGAUUUUCACAGGCCGUGGAAAAAUAAAGAAUUUGACAAUCGAUAGCCUCCAGUAUAUAAUUAUAAUUCUGCGCACACUUUGGAGCUAUUGGAUGCCUGAAUGCGUCGUGUUCCUCCAUUGUGCCAUGUUAAGACUUGCAGCUUGAGAGGAGGGAAAUAGUUAAGCAGGUUGUAUAGAGUUGCUACCAUACCAUUUCUUUGUGACUGCAUGGUCUUACCAUCAAUUUUCUUAAAGUAUAUUAGCCUCUUGUUCUUGGAAGAAUAGAUUUUCCAUGGCCUCUAUUUUACUUGCUGGUGGAUUACACGUUACUUCCUUGGAUGUUUAAAGGUUAUUAUAUCCUUGCUCCCCUUUUUAUCGGCAAGCAUUCUCUCAUCUUCUGGUAACUUGAGUAAGAUGCAACACACUAAUGCUUUCUUAGUCUGGUUUGUUCUUGCAAAAAAUAAUUGAAGUGUGCAGACAGGCAGCAUGGAAACACUAAAGAGAAGUUUCAUACGUACUAACAGCUGGAGUAAUUUCAUACCUGUAGUAACCGUCUUAGAAGAAAUAAGUUUCAGCUAUUUCUAAAGAUAUUAGACCAUACGAUUAUUCUUAAGUUAAAAUGUUUGGCAUGGACUAACGUGUAUACGGGUGGAGUGGUUCCAGAUUUGUUACAAGCUCCUUGUGUUGAGGAACAUCAAAGUGGAGAAGUUUCUAUUAUUUUCGAAACUAUUAUUCAAAUGCUGAAGUGUAAUUUAUCACAUCCCUGAGACAUAGGAAUACACAUUUUACUGCACAGUCACUAAACCUAUGUUAUCAAGUUUUACCUUAGUAGUGUAUCACCAAUGUUUACAACUGUUUCAAAAAUAGAAGCAAUGUGGCUCACACUGAUCAAUCACAUGUUUUAUCUCAACCGAUUUUUUAAAUUUUGACAUGCUAUUUUGAAGUAUAUAUUGGCAUUAUGCUGAAAAGGGACCUGAGAGGUGAAGUUUUAUUAUCUAUCCUGGUAGAAUAAUCCAAAGAAGAUAUGUUUUACUAACCAAUUUAUAUGCCUAAAGGUGCUGCUAUUGUUAUUAUUUUCUUAAUGAAUGUGCCUAAAAUUGUUUCGGUACUCUUCUACUAAGAUUGACCAAAUGAGUGUUCUGCUAAAGUAAAAGUCAUAAGACUGAAAUAACAUGGGUCAUCCUUUGUGAAAGUGCAACUAUCCCUAGGUGGUUUUGGUAAUUCAUAACAACAUAUAGCUCAUUGAGCUAAUGCUAUUCCAAGACUAUUAUUUCAGGAAAGCUCAAUGAAUGGCAUGGCAUGGAUGAUGAAAGUGGACCCCUCAAAAUAUCAAGGACAAAGGAUUGGCUCAAGCUCAAAAGCUGAAGACUCUUCAUUUUACAUUUGAGUGAUCAAAGAUCACAUUGAGUCUAUAGGAAAAGCCAAUACUAUCAAGGAGGGAUGAGGUGUUGCUUAAUGAGCCUCUUGAAAGAAAUAUGCCCUAGAGGCAAUAAUAAAGUUAUUAUUUAUUUACUUAUAUCAUGAUAAAUGUUUAUUAUUCAUGCUAGAAUUGUAUUAACCGGAAACAUAAUACAUGUGUGAAUACAUAGACAAACAUAGUGUCACUAGUAUGCCUCUACUUGACUAGCUCGUUUAUCAAAGAUGGUUAUGUUUCCUAGCCAUGGACAAAAGAGUUGUCAUUUGAUUAACGGGAUCACAUCAUUGGGAGAAUGAUGUGAUUGACUUGACCCAUUCCGUUAGCCUAGCACUUGAUCGUUUAGUAUGUUGCUAUUGCUUUCUUCAUGACUUAUACAUGUUCCUGUAACUAUGAGAUUAUGCAACUCCCAUUUACCAGAGGAACACUUUGUGUGCUACCAAACGUCACAACGUAACUGGGUGAUUAUAAAGGAGCUCUACAGGUGUCUCCAAAGGUACAUGUUGGGUUGGCGUAUUUCGAGAUUAGGUUUUGUCACUCCAAUUGUCGGAGAGGUAUCUCUGGGCCCUCUCGGUAAUGCACAUCACUAUAAGCCUUGCAAGCAAUGUGACUAAUGAGUUAGUUGCGACAUGAUGUAUUACGGAACGAGUAAAGAGACUUGCCGGUAACGAGAUUGAACUAGGUAUUGGAUACCGACGAUCGAAUCUCGGGUAAGUAACAUACCGAUGACAAAGGGAACAAUGUAUGUUGUUAUGCGGUCUGACCGAUAAAGAUCUUCGUAGAAUAUGGGGGAGCCAAUAUGAGCAUCCAGGUUCCGCUAUUGGUUAUUGACUGAAGACGUGUCUCGGUCAUGUCUACAUAGUUCUCGAACCCGUAGGGUCCGCACACUUAAGGUUUCGAUGACAGUUAUAUUAUGAGUUUAUGAGUUUUGAUGUACCUAAGGAGUUCGGAGUCCCGGAUGAGAUCGGGGACAUGACGAGGAGUCUCGAAAUGGUUGAGAUGUAAAGAUCGAUAUAUUGGACGACUAUAUUCGGAGUUCGGAAAGGUUCCGAGUGAUUUGGGUAUUUUUCGGAGUACCGUAGAGUUAUGGGAAUUCGCCGGGGAGUAUAUGGGCCUUAUUGGGCUUUAGGAGUGAGGGAGUCCUGGAUUAGGGGGUAUCCGGAUGGCCGUACUAUGACCUUUGACCGGACUCCCGGACUAUGAAGAUACAAAAUUGAAGACUCUGUCCCGUGUCCGGAUGGGACUUUCCUUGGCGUGGAAGGCAAGCUUGGCGAUACGAUAUGAAGAUUUCCUCCCAUUGUAAACGACUCUAUGUAACCCUAGCCCUCUCCGGUGUCUAUAUAAACCGGAGAGUUUUAGUCCGUAGGACGAACAACAAUCAUACCAUAGGCUAGCUUCUAGGGUUUAGCCUCUCUGAUCUCGUGGUAGAUCCACUCUUGUACUACCCAUAUCAUCAAUAUUAAUCAAGCAGGAGUAGGGUUUUACCUCCAUCGAGAGGGCCCAAACCUGGGUAAAAACAUCGUGUCCCUUGUCUCCUGUUACCAUCCGCCUAGACGCACAGUUCGGGACCCCCUACCCGAGAUCCGCCGGUUUUGACACCGACAUUGGUGCUUUCAUUGAGAGUUCCUCUGUGUCGUCGCCCUUAGGCCCGAUGGCUUCUUCAAUCAUCAACCACGACGCGGUCCAGGGUGAGACCUUUCUCCCCGGACAGAUCUUCGUAUUCGGCGGCUUCGCACUGCAGGCCAACUCGCUUGGCCGUUUGGAGCAAAUCAAAAGCUACGCCCCUGGCCAUCAGGUCAGGUUCGGAAGUUUAAACUACACGACCGACAUCCGCGGGGACUUGAUCUUCGACGGAUUCGAGCCACGGCCGAUCACGCCGCACUGUCAUGAUGGGCAUGAUCUAGCUCUGUCGCCGGACAACGCCCAAAGCGUCGCUCAGGUGCCCGCUCCGACCAUUAGCUCGGAGCCGACUGCGCUAGUCGGGGAUGGAUGGUUGGACGCCACCCCGGGAGCCGCAAUCUCUACGGCGAUAGAGUCGAAUACCAGCCUAGUCCUUUGCAGGGUCCGUGACUCCAAGGUGCCGGACUCCGUUCCGGACUCCGUAUAUCCCGCACCUCUUCCGAUCGAGCCCGGUUGGGCUCCGAUCAUGGAGUUCACCGCCACGGACGUCUUUCAGCACUCGCCCUUUGGCGAUGUCCUAAAUUCACUAAAGUCUCUCUCUUUGUCAGGAGAGCCCUGUCCGAACUACGGUUAGCAUGGUUGGGAUAUGGACGACGAAGAAAUUCGAGGCCCACCCACCACCCACUUCGUAGCCACUGUCGACGAUUUAACCGACAUGCUCGACUUUGACUCCGAAGACAUCGACGGUAUGGACGCCGAUGAAGGAGACGACCAAGAACCAACACCUAUAGGGAACUGGAAAGCCACCUCGUCAUAUCACAUAUACAUGGUGGACACCCCCAAAGCAGGGGAUGGCGAGGAAAAAACGGAGGAUGACCCCUCCAAGAAGCAACCCAAGCACCAACGUCAGCGGCACCGCUCUAAGUCCCGCCAUAGCAAAAACGGCGAUUCCGGCACCGGAGAUAACAACACGCCGGACAGUGCCGAAGAUAACCCCCUCCAGCAGGAUUCAGUGCAGGAGGACAAAGGAGCCAGCCCUCAUGAGAGAGCGACCGACAGAGAGGUUGAAGACGACAACUAUAUGCCUCCCUCCGAAGACGAGGCAAGCCUCGAUGACGACGAAUUCGUCGUGCCAGAGGAUCCCGUCGAACAAGAGCAUUUCAAACGCAGGCUUAUGGCCACGGCAAGCAGCCUCAAGAAAAAACAGCAGCAGCUUAGAGCUGACCAAGACUUGCUAGCCGACAGAUGGACCGAAGUCCUGGCGGCCGAAGAGUAUAAACUCGAGCGCCCCUCCAAGAGCUACCCAAAGCGCAGGCUACUACCCCAACUUGAGGAGGAAGCAACUAAACCUACAUCACCAGCGUACGAUGCGCCCAAUCAGCCACCCCGUGGCCGCGACAGAGAGGCCUUCAGGCCCUCGACCCAAGCCGCACCCCGGCACCGCUCAAAACAUACCAGAGUACGGGGAGACGCAACAUACCUGCGAGACAUAUUCGAGAAUAAGGCAAGGCAAACAAGAUCGAUAUAUAGAUCGCAUGGGCGCCCUGCUUCACGUGACACUAGCCGUCACGCCAGACAUGAUAAGUACGGCCAUGCCGAAUACAACAGACCAAGCUCAUCCGAGCUGCGUCGUGAUAUAGCCCAAUACAGGGGCGCCGCACACCCACUAUGCUUCACAGACGAAGUAAUGGAUCAUCAAAUCCCCGAGGGCUUUAAACCCGUGAACAUCGAAUCAUACGAUGGCACAAUAGAUCCUGCGAUAUGGAUUGAGGAUUAUCUCCUUCAUAUCCACAUGGCCCGUGGUGAUGAUCUACAUGCCAUCAAAUACCUCCCGCUCAAGCUUAAAGGACCAGCUCGACAUUGGCUUAACAGCCUGCUAGCAUAGUCAAUUAGUUGCUGGGAGGACCUGGAAUCCGCAUUCCUUGACAACUUCCAGGGCACUUACGUGCGACCACCAGACGCCGAUGACCUAAGCCACAUAAUCCAGCAACCAGAGGAAUCGGCCAGGCAAUUCUGGACACGGUUCCUAACUAAGAAAAAUCAAAUAGUCGACUGUCCGGAUGCCGAGGCCCUUGCUGCCUUCAGGCACAACAUCCGAGAUGAAUGGCUUGCCCGGCAACUAGGACAGGAAAAGCCGAAAUCUAUGGCAGCCCUCACGACACUCAUGACCCGCUUUUGUGCGGGAGAAGACAGCUGGCUAGCUCACAACAAUAAGAUAACCAAGAGCCCUGGCAAUUCGGAUACCAAGGACAACAAUGGCAGGUCACGUCGCAACAAGCACAAGCGCCGCAUUAACGGCGACAAUACUGAGGAUACGGCAGUCAACGCCGGAUUCAGAGGCUCUAAACCCGGUCAGCGGAAGAAGCCGUUCAAAAGAAACCCUCCGGGCCCAUCCAACUUAGACCGGAUACUCGACCGCUUGUGCCAGAUACAUGGCACCCCCGAACAACCAGCCAACCACACCAACAGGGAUUGUUGGGUGUUCAAGCAGGCAGGCAAGUUAAGUGCCGAAACCAGAGACAAGGGGCUACGUAGCGAUGACGAGGAGGAGCCCCGGUCGCCGAACAACAGAGGACAGAAGGGAUUCCCCCCGCAAGUGCGGAUGGUGAACAUGAUAUACGCAACCCACAUCCCCAAAAGGGAGCAGAAGCGUGCUCUCAAGGACGUCUAUGUGUUGGAGCCAGUCGCCCCAAAGUUCAACCCAUGGUCCUCCUGCCCGAUCACUUUUGAUCGAACGGACCACCCCACUAGCAUCCGUCACGGUGGAUUCGCCGCAUUGGUCCUAGACCCAAUUAUCGACGGAUUUCACCCCACCUGAGUCCUAAUGGACGGCGGCAGCAGCCUGAACCUGCUUUAUCAGGAUACAGUGCGAAAAAUGGGUAUCGAUCCCUCAAGGAUUAAACCCACAAAGACAACCUUUAAAGGCGUCAUACCAGGUGUAGAAGCCAGCUCUACAGGCUCGGUUACACUCGAAGUGGUCUUUGGAUCCCCGGAAAAUUUCCGAAGCGAAGAGUUAAUCUUCGACAUAGUCCCAUUCCGCAGUGGUUAUCACGCCCUGCUCGGACGAACCGCAUUUGCAAAAUUCAAUGCGGUGCCGCACUACGCAUAUCUCAAGCUCAAGAUGCCAGGACCUCGCGGAGUCAUCACGGUAAAUGGAAACACCGAACGCUCUCUCUGAACGGAGGAGCACACGGCGGCCCUGGCGGCGGAAGUACAGAGUAGCCUCUCAAGGCAAUCCUCCAACCCAGGUGUCAAACGUCCGGACAACGUCAAGCGAGCCCGAAGUAACCUACAACAAAUCCGGCUGGCACGUUCCAAGCAAGCAUAGCAGUGCGGCCCCAACCCCAGCCCUCGCCAGAUGGUGAUAUCGGUACCACACGUACAUAAUUACGCCUUAGAGAUACCAUGGGCAUAAGGGGAGGGGCACAACUACGGCACGCCCAGAAUGCGACUCAACCGCACUAAGGGGCUCCCUAUUCCACCGUUUCCUUUUUAUACACUUCCAAGACCCAACUAUUCGGAAGGCCUGUCCGGCAACACACUCGCCGAACAUACGAUGCAACAGCCAGGGAGAAAACAAGCCGCGUCAAAUGUCCAGGUGGUCUCUAUAACGAGCUUAAUACCUGUUUUACUUAAAAUCCCGCAGCUUGCCCCUGGAGGGGGACAUGUCAAAUAAUCCCAUCUCUUGCUUAUCGCACUACUUGUAUCGUUCUGCUUUCGCAGCAGCCAUUUUUUAAUAAACAAUACAUAGCUCUUAUCUAUUAUUGUACUCAUCUAUUUUUUAUAUAUACAAAUAUGUUCAGUCAUGACAUUCUGCAACCGUACACUUUGGUACGGCCAAUACACCAGGGGCUUAAGCACCCCAUAACAUGGUGUGAGAAGACCGAACACUCUCAUGAGUGCGACACCCCGAACUUAUAGCACUAUAUGCAUCGGCGCCGAAUCAUGUCUUUGGUCAAUAGUUGGGUUUGCCCGGCUCCCAUGUUUUGGUACCUUAUGUUCCGCAAUGUUGGCUAAGGUAGCGCUGGGAGAACUACUGCGAUUGUGCCCCAGUUGAGCUGGGUUAACACCUCAGUAGAGAAAGCUAAAACUGACCGUCAUGAUAGUGCGAGAGACCGGUCGCUGUUCGCGAGGUUUUUCGAGUCCUUAAAGACUUAUGCCGCUUAGAGCGAGGAACCGGACUUAUCCGACCUAGGCGUGGAUAGCCCCCCGAACUCGGUCCUCCGAAUACUAGGGGCUUCGCCGAAAUUUAAAAUUAUAGAAUUAUAUGGCUAAGUGAGAGUGAUAAAGCAUUAUAAGUCCGACGGCCUAGUUCGUUGUGCUGAGCGCCUCCCUAGAUGGACCCAAGAAUGGGAACAAGAGCGCUCAGGUUUAUCCCAAACACCCCGGCACUCAUGGCAUGGGGGUCGAAGCCGACGACUUGCAUCUCUCAGAUUUGAUAAACGGUCGCACAGAAGGUAAUAUUUUAAAUUAACAAGCGUUGCUUAACGCACAUGAACAAAGUUUUCAGCGUACAGGAUAACAAAUGCGAGUCUACUCAAAAAUUACAUCUUUGGAGCAUUCGUCCGCUAUACGACGAGCACCCUUCAGGACGCCCUUAUAAUACAUCUCGGGUGUGCGAUACUCCUUGCCCGGCGGUGGCGCGUCCGUCAAAAGCUUCUCAGCGUCCAGCUUGCCCCAGUGCACCUUAGCACGGGCAAGGGCCCGACGGGCACCUUCGAUACAAACGGAGCGCUUGACGACCUCAAUCCACGGACACACGUCCACCAGCCGCCACACCAGACCGAAGUAGCUCCCAGGCAUGUCUUCUCCAGGCCACAGCGAGUUAUGAGGCCCUUCAUGGCCUGUUCGGCCACCUUGUGGAGCUCGACCAGCUACUUCAGCUGGUCGCUCAGGGGCACUGGUUGUUCGGCCUCAGCAUACUGAGACCAGAACACUUUUUCUGUCGAGCUCCCCUCUUCAGCUCGGUAGUAUGCGGCGGCAUCAGACACACUACGGGGCAGAUCGGCGAACUCUCCUGGAGAGCUCCGGAUUCGGGUAAGUAGCAGAUAAUUAACUUUUAUAUUCUUGCUUUGCAUAAAGAAUGCCUUACCCGCUGCUAUCUUCUUCAUCGCUUCGAUAUCCUGGAGGGCCUUCUGGGCUUCGGCCUUAGCGGUCUUGGCACUCUCAAGAGCCAAGGCGAGCUUGGACUCUCGAGUCUUCGAGUCACGCUCCAAACCCUCGUGUUUUUCCACGAGAGGCUGAAGCUCUUGCCGCACCUCCGCCACCCGCGCCUCCCGCUUCUCUCGCUCAGUGCGCUCCAAGGCCGCACUGUUUUCGGCCUUAGAGACCGCCUCCUUCAGGGUCUCCACCUCGGCUGUGGCCCCUGCAACAUUUAUGUUGGUCCUGUCAUUUUUCGCAACCAAGUAUUUCUAUAUACAUUUACAUGCGGUAUUACAUACCCUCCUUGUCCUCGAGCUGCUUCUUGGCACGGACGAGCUCGUUCUCGGACCGCUCGAGGUUCUCUUUCAAGGCAUUGACCUCCGCAGUCAGUGCGGCAGAGGUCAGCAGCGCAGCCUGCAUUCCCAUAUUGACACAUUUUUAUUAGACUCCUGCGUAUAUCUCUUUAGAUCCUCAGCUUGGCUUUUCUUUCCGAAUGCCAAACUGAGCAUCAGGGACUACUGUCUAUGCGGUAACAUUUUUUAUGUGUCUUGAACACGUACCUCAAAGCCUGUUAACAGACUUGUACAGGCUUCUGUCAGCCCGCUCUUGGCGGACUGAACCUUCUAAAUCACCGCACUCAUAACAGUGCGGUGUUCCUCGUCGAUGGAGGCGCUGUUAAGCACCUCCAGCAAAUUGUCCGGCGCCUCCGGAUGGACGGGGGUCGCCGGCGUCGUAGGCUUGCCCUUCUUAUGAAGGCGCCGCCUGUCGGACUCUGGAACCGUUGAUGGUUCCGGAGCAGUGUCCGGCCCGGGGCCGGACUUAGAUCCCUCCGGGGCUUUACCCCCUUCGGGCCUGGAGUCCGGGAGAUCGCCUUGCGGCGCCUCCAGGACCAUCUCCUCCUGGUUUAGUCCCUUUCGGGACUCCACCUCGGCGUCGUCCGCAGGGAGUGGGGAGGAGGCCGUCGAAAGUGAAGCGCUAUUCACAUCCGACGAAUUCAGUGAGCCGCUCGACGAAUCGCUGAGCUGAGCUCUGGGCGGACUGCAUAAUUAAAUUCGGCGUCAGAAGCUAUCGAAUAAUAGAGGAGUGCAAUAAGUCAUUCGGGUAGCCGAACACUUACGAUUUUGCCAGGGGCUUGACCCUGGAUGGCUAUUCCUCCCCGCCGUCUUCGGCAUCGGAGGCGUAGUCCGGCAGAAGGGUUCCCCUUCUUGGACCCUUCGGCUUCCCUAGUUGGGGCGGCCUUUCUUUUCUUUCCUCCCCCGUUGGAGGGGGAGAGGCUUCUUCUUCUUCUUCUUCCUCCUCCUUGUCUUCGGAGGCGGAGGGUGCGUCGGGGUUGUCGGGCGAAUCCGACACCGCCAGGCGCCGGGAACUCUUUCGGGUCCCCGUGGCCUUCUUCUUGGCCUUCUUCUCCGGCACCACGUGGGGUGCCGGAACCAGCAGCCCUGUCAAUUGGGUGUCCGCUGGGUCUUCUGGUAGGGGAGCCGGACGGAUAACCUGCCCGGACUUCUUCAGCCAGUCCUGUCAAAGGUAGGGGACUUUAGAUCCCGCAUAGAGUCAAACUAUGAAAGACAAAUGUCCCGUAAAGGGUAGAAUAACUUACCUUGUUGGCCUGGCGCCGCGAGCUGAAUCCGCGAUCCUCGGUAGCGGACGCGGGGGCCUCGGCACCCUUGAACAGCACCUUCCAGGCAUCUUCGUACGUGGUGUCGAAGAGCCCGCUCAAGGUUGGGUGCCGUGCCGGAUCGAACUCCCACAAUUUGAAGGCCCAUUGUUGGCAUGGGAGGACCCGGUGGAUAAGCAUGACCUGGACUACGUUGACGAGCUUGAGGUUCUUGCUCACCAGCUUCUUGACGCAGGUUUGGAGUCCGGUCAGCUCUUCCGAAUCUCCCCACGUUAGGCUCGUCUCUUUCCAGGAGGUGAGCUGUGUGGGAAAGCUAGAUCGGAAUUGGGGGGCCGCUUCCCAUUUGGGGUCGCGUGGCUCGGUGAUGUAGAACCACCCCGAUUGCCAUCCUUUUAUUGUCUCCACGAAGGAGCCCUCGAGCCAUAGGACGUUGGCCAUCCGGCCCACCAUGGCACCUCCGCACUCCACUUGGCGGCCGCUCACCACUUUCGGCUUGACAUUAAAAGUCUUCAGCCAUAAGCCGAAGUGGGGCUGGAUGCAGAGGAAGGUCUCGCACACGACGAUGAACGCCGAGAUGUUGAGGAUAAAGUUCGGGGCCAGAUCGUGGAAGUCCAGGCCGUAGUAGAACAUGAGCCCCUGGACGAACGGGUGAAGAGGAAAACCCAGUCCGCGGAGGAAAUGGGGAAGAAAAACAACCCUCUCAUGGGGCCUGGGGGUGGGGAUGAGUUUCCCCACAUCUGAAGCCGGUGCGUGAUGUCGUCAGACAGGUAUCCGGCCUUCCUCAGCUUUUUGAUUUGCCCCUCCAUGACGAAGGAGGCCAUCCAUCUACCUCCCUCUCCAAACAUGAUCAGAGAAGGUUGAGGUGGGAAGUGCGGGCUUGGGCAUUGGAGCUCGAGCGCGCAGGGACGAAUAAGCAAAGAAGGAAGAAGGCGUGAAUGGAAAGGGCGGAUUCUUAUCCCCUUAUAUGGGCGGCCAAAACUACGAGCCCCCACCGGCCUAAUAAAACUCGCUUAUCUCCCAAGCGCCGCGGUUAAUGGCGCGGUUGGGUUACCCACGCCCGUAUUGAUGAGAAUCCCGGAAUAAGGGGACACGAUCUCUGCUUUGACAAGACGUGCCAAGGAAACCGCCUCACUAAACGCGCUGAGAUGGAACAGUAAAAUGAAUAAAAGCCUGGCCGUGGCGUGAUGUCACGCUGCGGAAUACGUCAGCGGAUUAGAUUGGUGCAAAUGUUAUUCUCUCUAUGGUGGCAUGUGGAACUUAUUUUGCAGAGCCGGACACUAUCCUGGUGUUCAACAUCUUCUAUGAAGUAUUCGGAGGAGGAACCCGCCUUGCAAUGCCGAAGACAACUUGCGCGCCGAACUCAUCGUCAUUGAAGCCUGGUUCAGGGGCUACUGAGGGAGUCCUGGAUUAGGGGGUGUCCGUAUGGCCGGACUAUGACCUUUGGCCGGACUCCCGGACUAUGAAGAUACAAGAUUGAAGACUCCGUCCCGUGUCCGGAUGGGACUUUCCUUGGCGUGGAAGGCAAGCUUGGCGAUACGAUAUGAAGAUCUCCUCCCAUUGUAACCGACUAUGUGUAACCCUAGCCCUCUCCGGUGUCUAUAUAAACCGGAGAGUUUUAGUUCGUAGGACAAACAACAAUCAUACCAUAGGCUAGCUUCUAGGGUUUAGCCUCUCUGAUCUCGUGGUAGAUCCACUCUUGUACUACCCAUAUCAUUAAUAUUAAUCAAGUAGGAGUAGGGUUUUACCUCCAUCGAGAGGGCCCGAACCUGGGUAAAAACAUCAUGUCCCUUGUCUCCUGUUACCAUCCGCCUAGACGCACAGUUCGGGACCCCCUACCCGAGAUCCGCCGGUUUUGACACCGACAAGGGGAAAGAGAGAGGAGAGGUUGGGCUCCCCCCAAGGCCUAGUCCGAAUUGGACUAGGGGGAGGGGCUGCGCCCCCUCCUUCCUUCUCUUCUCUUCCCCCUUUCCUUGACUCCUACUCCUACUACUUGGAAGGGGGGGAAUCCUACUCCCGGUGGGAGUAGGACUCCUCCUUGGCGCGCCCUCCUUGGCUGGCCGCCCCCUCCCCCUUGGUUCCUUUAUAUACCGGGGCAGGGGGGGCACCCCAUAACACACAAGUUGAUCUUCGUGAUCGUUCCUCAGCCGUGUGCGGUGGCCCCCUCCACCAUAUUCCACCUCGGUCAUAUCGUUGCGGUGCAUAGGCAAAGCCCUGCGUCAGUAGAACAUCAUCAUCGUCACCACGCUGUCAUGCUGACGGAACUCAUCCCCGACACCCUGCUGGAUCGGAGUCUGGGGAUCGUCAUCGAGCUGAACGUGUGCUGAACUCGGAGGUGCCGUACGUUCGGUGCUUGGAUCGGUCGGAUCGUGAAGACGUACGACUACAUCAACCGCGUUGUCAUUACGCUUCCGCUUACGGUCUACGAGGGUACGUGGACAACACUCUCCCUCUCGUUGCUAUGCAUCACCAUGAUCUUGCGUGUGCGUAGGAAUUUUUUUGAAAUUACUACGUUCCCCAACACCUCUUGCUUCAAUGCUUAGUGAUAUGCUCCAAAUACCCUCAACUACUUUCUCACAUCCUCAUAAGACCUAAACCUAAAGCCAAAAUCGGUCACACCAAUUCUUUCUAUCCGACGCCAGCGAGUUCAGAUGUCAUAUCCACUGCCACAAACCCUAGGCAAAUAGGUCUCAGCGAUAGGGAUCUCGGUCUCAUCGAGAUGGGAUUGUAAUCUCUCUGUUUCCCUUCGUAACGUUUCGGUCUAACCGAAGUGAGCGAUCGGUCCCACCGAGAUUGCAAUGUAAACUCUCUGUUUCCCUAUUGUAACAUUUUGUUCUCACCGAAAAGAGCAAAUCGGUCCCAUCGAGUUUACCUCACCAACUCUCUGGUUAGCUAAUUACCAAAAUCGGUCUCACCGAGUUUGUGUAAUCGGUCUCACCGAGAUUACGUUGUGCCCUAACCCUAACCAUAUCGGUCCUACCGAGGUGCAUGUCGGUCCCACCGAAAAUCCUAACGGUUACUAGGUUUACUAAAUCGGUCUGACCGAGUUUGUUGAUUCGGUCCCACCGAGAUUGGUAAAUUGUGUGUAACAGUUAGAUUUUGUGUGAAGGCUAUAUAUACCCCUCCACCUCCUCUUCAUUCGUGGAGAGAGCCAUCAGAACAAACCUACACUUCCAACUUACCAGUUCUGAGAGAGAACCACCUACUCAUGUGUUGAGGCCAAGAUAUUCCAUUCCUACCAUAUGAAUCUUGAUAUCUAGCCUUUCCCAAGUUGCUUUCCACUCAAAUCUUCUUUCCACCAGAUCCAAAUCCUGUGAGAGAGAGUUGAGUGUUGGGGAGACUAUCAUUUAAAUCACAAGAGCAAGGAGUUCAUCAUCAACGCACCAUUUGUUACUUCUUGGAGAGUGGUGUCUCCUAGAUUGGCUAGGUGUCACUUGGGAGCCUCCGACAAGAUUGUGGAGUUGAACCAAGGAGUUUGUAAGGGCAAUGAGAUCGCCUACUUCGUGAAGAUCUACCGCUAGUGAGGCAAGUCCUUCGUGGGCGACGGCCAUGGUGGGAUAGACAAGGUUGCUUCUUCGUGGACCCUUCUUGGGUGGAGCCCUCCGUGGACUCGCGCAGCCGUUACCCUUCGUGGGUUGAAGUCUCCAUCAACGUGGAUGUACGAUAGCACCACCUAUCGGAACCACGCCAAAAACAUCCGUGUCUCCAACUGUGUUUGAAUCCUCCAAACCCUUCCCUUUACUUUCUUGCAAGUUGCAUGCUUUAAUUUCCGCUGCCUAUAUACUCUUUGCAUGCUUGCUUGAUUUGAGUGAUGAUUGCUUGACUUGUCCAAAGAUUGCUAAAAUCUGCCAAACUCUAAAAUUGGGAAAAGGUCAAGUUUUUAAUUGGUCAAGUAGUCUAAUCACGCCCCUCUAGACAUACUUCAAGGUCCUACACUUUGUAUGUCUGUUAGUGCUACAAACUAUUUGAAUGAAAGAUCUGACAAUACAUAGCACAUCGUAUGUCCACAGUUGUGAUGAUGGUAGGUGCAGAGUCUUGACUACUGUAGGUUUAUAAGUAGCUUUCUCUGAAUGCUAAAUGAAUGUGCCAUGUACCAUAAAUCCACCAUGUACCAUGAUCAUUUGAAUAGUCUUGCGUAAGUUUAUGUUAGCUCCAUAUGCUAAAUGAAUGUUCACUUAUGUUCAAAUUUCAAGGAAGUGUGCUUCAUGCUUCUGUUUCUGCAAUAUGUUUAAGAGUAUAUGAUUUCAUUUUCCUUCAUUCCCAGUUAUAAAUUUAUUGGCGUCAAAGUAGAGCUUCAGGUUUAUGGUUGAGUAUAUCAUUGCAAAGUAGUUUAUGGCUCGGUAUAUCACUACAGGUUCCUUACACCGUCAAAUUUCAAUGUUUUUGUAUUUUUGUCAAUGGAACCAUGUUCUUUGACUAUAAAGUAGCAGAGAUUUCUUUUCUUAUCAAUUCUAAUCCCUUUUUGAUGCAUUGUAGAUUUGCUAUCAAACUCUCAAAAAAGGAAAAACAACUUUACUCUGUUUUUUGGAUAACCUUCCUGUAGAGUACCUCGACAGAGACAAAUAUGCGAUCACGGAUAUAUUCGAUCGAUUUUCACGCAAAACUUGGAGGAUAUUUUUGCAGGUUCAUUGCUUGCUUUAUUGUUUUCUUACUUUCCGUUCUUCAAGACAAUAUCUUCCUAGCACUGAUCUAUAAAUUUUAAUCCAUCUUUUUGUUCCUUUUGAUUAUCAUGGCGUACUCAUCCUGUCUAAUCCAAGCAAGGGCCUUCAUGUUUGCAGAUAGUUUGAUGCUCUCAUGGUUAAUAUUUUUCUUGGAACUAUUGGCAUGUAGAGGAGGCUGUGUUUUAUUUGCUGGUGUGUUAGGCACAUAAGAAACUGGUUUUGCCUUUUUCACAAACCAAGCUAGGGCUAGCUUCUGAUGUAUAUGGUCCCAGCUCCAUUUUUAUUGUCAAAAAAAUUAAGUACAAUGUUAAAUGUGUUGGUUCACAUGCCAAUUGUUCAUGUUCUUCAGGCCUUGAUCUUACUAUCCUAUCUGAAUAUUCCUUUUAUGGCAAUCACAGGUUUAUGUGAUUGGCGGGGAUGGAACAAUGAGAGGAGCAGUGGUGAUAUUCGAAGAGUUUAAACGGUGUUGUUUGAGGAUAUCCAUUACAGGGAUCCCAAAAAACUUGGACAAUGACAUCGAAAUCAUAGACAAGGCAUUUGGGUUUCAAACUGCAGUGGAGAGUGCUCAGUAGGCAAUCGAUGCGACACAUGUGGGGUUGUGAAUAUUGUGGAUGGCAUUGGUCUUGUCAAACUUAUGGGAAGGAGCAUGGGACACAUUACUCUUCAUGCCACCCUGAGCAGCCUGAGAUGUUGACUGUUGUUUGAAUCCUGAGAUCGAUUUCCAUGUUGAAGGGAAGGGGCAUGCUGUCAUUGUUGUUGCUCAAGGCGCUGGCAGGAGUUGAUUCCCCGGAUUGAUGACCAGAAGCGAGAGCAGGAUGAGUAUGGCAACAUGUUGUUCCUUAGCGUUGGCCUUCUUCUAUAAAGUUUACAUACAAUUCACCUGCAUGGUUAAAAAAGCUACUAUUCUAAUGUAAAUGUUCUGUUUCUUUGAAGAUUACUCAUUUCUCUUACCGUUGUUGUAUCGAAAAAAUUGUGUUUUGGCCGCUUGCCCUCAUUUUAUAGGAGAUUGAGAUGUGGGACAAGCUACUACCAAAUGUUUGGUUACCAUCAAACCGUUUAUUUGCCAAUAAAAUAAAGGUUCCUUUUUUAAAAAACACAUGAAAGGACAACACUGCAUAAGGGAGUUUGCCCUUUGGAAAGGUUAUUGUUUGCUGCUGUGAUUAAACGUAGGAAAUUUAUAUACCUAUUGUAUGACAGUUGCUCAAGCUAAAGUCUUAUGUAACAUGUAACAUCUGGACUCUGUUUGUGGUAAUAAUUUUCCCACUGUAAAAGGCCAUGUUGCACAAGGUAGGUGUUUUGGGUUUUAAUUCAGGAAUGUGACACCAAGUAUGGGUUUGAACUCCAAAUGUGUUUGAACAUAAUUAAGUAGAGGAAGAUAUCGCGACACAUCUUCGUGGUAAAGUUGUAUGUCAUAUACCUUGCGCCAUUUGGCUCUAUGCAUGCUACCCUGAUUGCUAAAACCUACUUCUACUAGCAAAGUAAAAUAUUUUCAAAACACUUUGGGUUUGACAUGGUGUUUGCGCUUGCUCAAACAUAAAGAUAUUGAAAAAAAUGCAAAUAUUUUCAACGAGCCUAUGGUAUCAAAUUGGACUCUGUGCCAUUUGGCUCAGAGGUAAAUUAAAAUGUGUGUACAUCUCAUUAUAGACAAUAGUAUUCAUUUCUUUUUUUAUUAAAGAGGUAAAUUUGGUCAUCAUAUGUCCUUGCCCACAACUAAACUAACUAAAACAUGAAUUUCGUUUUCAACGCGCAUAUGGAUUCAACAGAUCUGUGCGUCAUACGUCCUUGCAAAAUGUUAACCAUUUUCAUCGACAACUGGUUUUAGCGGGUCUCUGCUGAAUGGAAAGUAAAUCCUUGCAUGCAGACAAAUCCGAAAUCAAAAGAGGUAAGAAAUCGCUUCGGUCGGCGGCUGAGGAAACGCCUCUGUCACCCAGCUGAGGAACCGAGAAAGAAAGAAGGAGAUAGAGAGUCUCCGCUGGAUCCGCCCCCUGCCGCUUCAUAUUCAGCUCCUCACGGGCCACAAGCAUCGCUCUGCGUGGGCUGAGCUAAAUAUCUCCGUAUAUGCACAAUAAAGACAUGUUUUUUUCUUAGGUUUCUUAUCCUUUCCCUCUUUUUUUGCAGGAAAAAGAUGCACGGCCAGGUUUCUCAUGAUGAUAACCAUGUUUUCAAACUAGGCCUGUUCAUGUCACACAAAUAUUUCCUUUUUCCAAACCCAUUGCUAAAAAAAUACAAUCAUGCCAACUUUACUCUCUCAUCAUAGUGGCCAUAUUUUCAAACUGAACAUAUUCAUAUUAUGCAAAGUUUCCCCUUUUUCAGACUAUUAUUUAACAACAUAAUAAACAUGUUUAAAAAAUAACAUGAUUUAGUUGAAGGUUCUUGCAACAUGAAAUUAUUUUCAUCGACAACAUGUCUUCAGCAGGUCUCUGCGCCAUUUGACGCAACGGGUCAACUAGUUGAAGAUAAGGCAAAGAGAUGACCCAUUGUAGACAUGUUUUUUUGUCAUAUCUAAAUUACAUGCAAGACUUAAGAUAAAACUAUCUUAUCAACCAUUGUACAUGCCCUUCCAUAUCCACAGAUUUUAACAGCCGAGAGCGAUAGUCUAGGUUCUUAGACUUAGAACACUCACCAAUUCCACCCAGAUCAACAGCAGGUGUACACACAUCAUCUCCUAUCUCUAGUACAGUAGCUUUGUCAGGACUCUUAUUCACAUAAUCCAGAAUAAAAAUUUCAUGAACAACAUCAGAGAGAGCAGCAAUAUGGUAAUUAGAGCCAACAUAGACCUCCCUAGCAUUAUUAUCAGCAAUUGAUUGGUCAAUAAGAUUCGCUUUGUCUAACUCAUCAAUAGCAUGCUCCCCUUCUAUAAGUUUCUUCUCCUUCAUCAUUGUCCGCAUCCAGCGGACCAAAAGCACCCACUUAUUCAAACCCUUCAAAGGAACAGUUUCUUCUUCAUCUCAACAAGUCUUUCAAAAGGAAUUGCAAGUUACAAUCUGGCGCGAAAAAGUAGGAACUGCCUCUAAUGAUUUCGAGAAACAGGAUAAUACUGGGUUUCACCAAGUAAAAGAGGUAGCAUCAUCUUUCUUCCGAACCGGAAUGAACCACAUCGCACACAAAACCACAGGUGAAGAAAGUUGUUACAAGGAUCUGCUGCUCCAAACUUACAUUACAUGGUCUAACGACACAGAUCGCAUCCAUAUAUAUUUCGCUAUGUACAGUACAAACUUCACAUACACAUUAGCAAAGUGGCCAAUUAAAAAACAAGCGGGUGAAGAAAGAACGCGGCAAACUGAAGGAGCAUGCAGCAACUAGUGUACAGUCCGGCCGCUCCGCCACCGCCACGGGCACGCGGUAAACUGGCCGGCGGGAAACCUGGUCGAUCUCGUCUCACUUGGGCCCCCAGAGCAGCAGGUGCAUCACCUUGGCCGUCUUGCCGUUGCCGUGGCCGACGCCGUCCUCCGCGCGCCGCCCCAGCUCCCUCCCCGCCGCCGCGCCGGCACGGGGCAGGUGCUGCCUCUGCUCGCCGUCGCGCGCCGGCGCCCAGAUAGCCGGGAGCCGCGCCCACCCGCCCUCGCGCCCGUUGUCGCUCACGUUGUCCAUCCCGCCCGCUCGAUCCUCAGCUGGUCUGUACUCUGUACCCCGCUCUCAGCACGCGCACUCUGAGGUGUGGGCACAGCUUAGCCUCCUCCUGCACAGCCUCGCUCUUAUAAGCAGCAGCACAUGGGCAGCAGCGGCGAGGAAAAAAUAUCGGUUGCUUUGAAUGAAGCUCCGUGUAUGAUUGAGGCGAGCUAGUGGCCAGGAGCAUCCCGAUGAUCGGGCCAGAUUUUUCUGUUCCCUCGGCGGUGCGGCGCGGCGCGGCAUCGGGAUCUUUCCAUGUGGUGUCGCUACGUUAGCUCGGAGGUCAAGCCAUAGCCAUCGGAAUAAAUUCGCGGGUGAGGCAGUAAUCAGUGAGGCCCGCGCGCGUCGCCCUCGCCGGUGCGGCGAAUUUCCACAGGAUGCCCGCAUGUGGGGCACUCCUCCGGUGGUGGCGCUGUGGGCGCGGCUCGCCGUGUGGUCGCGGUCGAUGCGGUGGUGGCGACCGAUCGAAGGGAUCAUUGAUUCGCGUAGGUUGGAGAAAUCGGGUUCAUUCUUAUCGCGACAAAUCCAGAA
rnacentral:lncRNA from 1 species